CCCCACUAUGCUUAGCUGUAAAAUAUUAACUUACACUUAAACCGCCAGGGAAUAACGAGCCCAAGCUUAAAACCCAAAGGACUUGACGGUGUCCCACCCCUCCUAGAGGAGCCUGUUCUAUAAUCGAUUCUCCCCGAUUUACCUCACCACUUCUUGAAUACCCAGUCUGUAUACCUCCGUCGCAAGCUUACCGUAUGAACGCGCCUAGUGGGCCAAAAGAUACACUAUCAACACGUCAGGUCAAGGUGCAGCCCACGAAGUGGAAAGAAAUGGGCUACAAUCUCUAUACUAGAACAAACGGAAGACUGUAUGAAAUACAACUACUAAAGGCGGAUUUAGCAGUAAAAAGAAACUAGAGAGUUCUUUUUAACUAGGCACUGGAACGCGUACACACCGCCCGUCACCCUCUUCAAACAAUUAAAAGUUUAUAACAUUAUACAUUAAAUAGAAGAGGCAAGUCGUAACAUGGUAAGUGUACUGGAAAGUGCACUUGGAACAAAAUGUAGCUUAAUUAAAGCAUCUUGCUUACACCUAGAACAUGCCCGUGAAAUCCUGACCAUUUUGAGCCUAACCCAAAGCCCUUCUAACCCCCAAUAAAAUCUCUCUUAUAAACAAACUAACUAAAACAUUUUCUUAACCCAGUAAAGGCGAUUAAAAAGUUUCUAGGAGCCUUAACUCUAGUACCGCAAGGGAAAAGUGAAAUAAAAUUGAAAUAAUUAAAGCACUGUAAAGUAGAGACCUCCCCUCGUA
rnacentral:rRNA from 1 species